UUUUUCUCUAUUUGUUUAUCUCUCUUCUAAUCAUGAAAUCAUAAUGUUAUUUUUUUACAUUUUAAGUAUUUUUAUUUUUAUUUUUUAAUUUAUUCACUAGGAGUUACUAAUCAUGACUUGCCCCUCUUUAAUUUUUACUUUUAAUAAUAUUCAUAACUCUCAUAAGUUUAUGAUGUCUUAUGGUAUUCCUUUAGUUUGCCUAUAAAUUCAUAUUAGUUUAUGAAGAUUCACAUUCACAAGUAUCCUUUCUCUUUUCAUCAUAUAGGUUUGGUUUGUAACAAAAAAAGAAGUAUAUGAAGUUGGUUGCAUAUAAUAAGAGCUUGACAUAUGGAUCAAAACAUGAUGGCGGAUCUCUUUGCAAAGGAAGAUGGUAGAA